GUGCCAGCAGCCGCGGUAAUACGAAGGGGGCUAGCGUUGUUCGGAAUUACUGGGCGUAAAGGGCGCGUAGGCGGCCUGUUUAGUCAGAAGUGAAAGCCCUGGGCUCAACCUGGGAAUAGCUUUUGAUACUGGCAGGCUUGAGUUCCGGAGAGGAUGGUGGAAUUCCCAGUGUAGAGGUGAAAUUCGUAGAUAUUAGGAAGAACACCAGUGGCGAAGGCGGCUCACUGGCCCGGAACUGACGCUGAGGUACGAAAGCGUGGGGAGCAAACAGGAUUAGAUACCCUGGUAGUCCACGCCGUAAACGAUGGAUGCUAGCCGUCGGGGAGCUUGCACUUCGGUGUCGCCGCUAACGCAUUAAGCAUUCCGCCUGGGGAGUACGGCCGCAAGGUUAAA
rnacentral:rRNA from 1 species